rnacentral:rRNA from 1 species
CACGUAGGGUGCAAGCGUUGUCCGGAAUUAUUGGGCGUAAAGAGCUCGUAGGCGGUCUGUCGCGUCUGCUGUGAAAACUCAGGGCUUAACCCUGAGCUUGCAGUGGGUACGGGCAGACUAGAGUGCGGUAGGGGAGACUGGAAUUCCUGGUGUAGCGGUGAAAUGCGCAGAUAUCAGGAGGAACACCGGUGGCGAAGGCGGGGUCUCUGGGCCGUAACUGACGCUGGAGGAGCGAAAGCCAUGGGGGAGC